CCUCUCCAUUUGAAAUUGGAAACCCAAGGAAUCGCCCCUUCAUCUCCUCUGGCGCCGUCAUCAUUCUCAACCUUCGCCCAGUGAUUUUAAAUGUGCUCGGAUCUCCAAACGCCGAACUCACAGUGAAAUCCUCUCCCAAAUGGGCAAAAUCGAUUCUUCCACACUUAACGAAAUUGGCAGAUAUUCUUCGCCUUCACAGCAACAACAGACGCAGGUCCUUUCUUCGUUUUCGCUCUCACAGCAACACAAAACUGAUUGUGCCCACGAACCCAAGAACUGAAGUCUUUCGAUUUGCAUGCAUGGAGGGAGAAGGUGGAGGUAAAAAAUUUCUUUGACAUUGUUUAGCUGUACUGUAAUACGAGAGAAUUUUGCAGUUUAAACUAUUUAGCUAAUUUGAACUUCGCUAUGUGGUAUACCAAAGUUGAACCUGACCACUGAGAAAGUGUUCUAUUCAAUGUUGUUCUGAAUUUACUGCCUGAUUUGAGAAUGAAGAAUUUCUUAAUGGUUUUAUUGUUUUUCAAUCUUCCUUUACAUUUCAGAAAUGUACAAAUAUCCAAAAGCAGUAUGAAUUUUAUUUUAUUUUUUUUAUUUUUAUUUUUUUGCUGCUCAAGCAUCAAAAUCUAGUAACAGCUUUGUGUAAUACAUUAACUUUUGAAUGAGAUUUGUGUUGAAGUUGCAUUCGAAACACAUUGAACAGCCUGUCCCCAUUUUUGUAAUGUUAUUCAAUUUGUUGGCUACUUACUGAGUUAGUUUCGAAAAGAAAUUAUUGAACUAUGUUGCGGAUGUUAUUAGUUUGCUAAUGACAUUGUUCACCUUUCCCUUCUUUGAAGUGGAAAACUAAAGCCGGGUCGAGUGGUGAAUCAAUUAAAGACUAUCGAAGCAACUGAAGAUCUAUCAAGUAUGUUCGAGAUUGUGCUGAAAUCACAGCAAAGAGAAAUGUUGAAAUAAGCAUCAACAUCACAUUUUGCAAGGAUAGAGGAGUUGCGGAGGAUGAAGGGAAAGAAAAGUGAAAAUCUCCGUGAAUUGUUUCGGAUUAGUAUUUUGCUUCGUUUGUAAGUUGUAACCAUGGUUGUGGAUGUAUUCUAGGAAGGUUUUAUGUACCUAUAUUUGUAACAAAGUUGGUUCUAUAUACCUUUAUUUGUAAUGACGUUCACCACUAAUUUAGUUAUCCA
rnacentral:lncRNA from 1 species